rnacentral:rRNA from 1 species
AUUGAACGCUGGCGGCAGGCUUAACACAUGCAAGUCGAGCGAGCGGCGGACGGGUGAGUAAUGUCUGGGAAACUGCCUGAUGGAGGGGGAUAACUACUGGAAACGGUAGCUAAUACCGCAUACCAUCAGAUGUUCCCAGAUGGGAUUGGCUAGUGGGUGGGGUAAUGGCUCACCUAGGCGACGAUCCCUAGCUGGUCGGAGAGGAUGACCAGCAACAGGGGGAAGAAGACAAGGUCCAGCCUCCGACGGGAGGCAGCAGUGGGGAAUAUUGGACAAUGGGCGCAAGCGUGAUGCAGCCAUGCCGCGUGUGUGAAGAGGGCCUUCGGGUUGUAAAGCACGAUCAGCGAGGAGGCGGUACCCGCAGAAGAAGCACCGGCUAACUCCGUGCCAGCAGCCGCGGUAAUAC